rnacentral:rRNA from 1 species
GAUGAACGCUGGCGGCAUGCUUAAUACAUGUAAGUCGAACGAGGUGCUUUUGUCUUCGGAUGAGAGUAUCCUAGUGGCGAACGGGUGAGUAACGCGUUGGUGACCUGCCCUGAAGUGUGGGAUAACAGUUCGGAAGGACUGCUAAUACCGCAUGCGAUCGUUUGGAUUAGAAGCCUUACGAUUAAAGGAGUAAUCCGCUUUGGGAGGGACCUGCGUCCCAUCGGCUAGUUGGUAAGGUAAUGGCUUACCAAGGCUUUGACGGGUAGGGGACCUGAGAGGGUGACCCCCCACACUGGCACUGAAACACGGGCCAGACACCUACGGGUGGCAGCAGUAGGGAAUCUUGGACAAUAGGCGCAAGCCUGAUGCAGCAACGCCGCGUGCGGGAUGACGGCCUUCGGGUUGUAAACCGCUUUUAGUAGUGAAGAAGCCUUCGGGUGACGGUACCUGCAGAAAAAGGACCGGCUAACUACGUGCCAGCAGCCGCGGUAAAAC